rnacentral:tRNA from 1 species
GCCUCGGUGGCGAAAUAGGUAGACGCACGGGACUUAAAAUCCCGCGGUUGUGAGACCGUACCGGUUCGAUUCCGGUCUGAGGCACCA